CUUGUUCUUGCAAUUUUUGGUUUGCUUCUCUUUCUUUCUUCUUAUUAUAUUUUUUUGCUCACUCUGUCUUUUUCUUUCUUCUUAUUAUAUUUUUUUGCUCACUCUGUCUUCUUCUAUAAGGUCUUGCUAUCUAGAGCAGAGACAAAAGUCAAAGAAUUACAGAAAUCAAUUAAACUUCAGAAGGAUACAAGUGUAAAGUUGGAGAAUGAUGCAGUAGCAGCUGAAGGAGAGAUGAUACGAGGAAGGACAAAACUCAGGCCAAACGAAUCCGUAGUGCCAUACAGUCAGCGUACAAGGUAGAAAGGCAAGCUGCAGGUUUGCAAUUAAAAGGGAGAGGACCAGAGAUAGAGAUGAUGAUGAACGUCAUCGAACUCGAGAUUAUGACCAGCACAGAGAUCAUGUCAAAGAUAGAGAGAGUCGGCAUAGACACAGGUCUCACUCAAAGGGUAGAUCUAAGCGUAGAUCAAUGUCUCGAUCGCAUUUUCAAUCCAAGAGG